rfam:Myotis brandtii contig275204, whole genome shotgun sequence.
AGGCCUGAAGAGAGAGGCAGGGUCUGAUUCACAGCCUCCGUAGCAGCUGUUGAUCAGCUGUUGCCUCUCUCUUUCUAUACG